rnacentral:rRNA from 1 species
AUUGAACGCUGGCGGCAGGCCUAACACAUGCAAGUCGAGCGGAUGAAGGGAGCUUGCUCCUGGAUUCAGCGGCGGACGGGUGAGUAAUGCCUAGGAAUCUGCCUGGUAGUGGGGGAUAACGUCCGGAAACGGGCGCUAAUACCGCAUACGUCCUGAGGGAGAAAGUGGGGGAUCUUCGGACCUCACGCUAUCAGAUGAGCCUAGGUCGGAUUAGCUAGUUGGUGGGGUAAAGGCCUACCAAGGCGACGAUCCGUAACUGGUCUGAGAGGAUGAUCAGUCACACUGGAACUGAGACACGGUCCAGACUCCUACGGGAGGCAGCAGUGGGGAAUAUUGGACAAUGGGCUAAAGCCUGAUCCAGCCAUGCAGCGUGUGUGAAGAAGGUCUUCGGAUUGUAAAGCACUUUAAGUUGGGAGGAAGGGCAGUAAGUUAAUACCUUGCUGGUUUGACGUUACCAACAGAAUAAGCACCGGCUAACUUCGUG